rnacentral:lncRNA from 1 species
CUUCGACACAGUUUUUCCGUAGUGCCAGAAAAAUUUGUCAAAAUCCGAUUCUUCCUCUUUUAACCGCCUCUACAACCCUUAUCCGACCCCUCUAGACUAUAUCCACCCUUUGUAUAGCCUAAUGUCAUCAAAAGACUAGAUAGGGAUGGAUAUUUACCUUUUUCUUUUUGGAAAUCGAGGUCCUUGCGUAGAGGGGAAGGAGAUCUACGUUUUUCCCUUCAGCUGGAAGUGCAACCGGAAUCUCUUUCCUCCUCGAAUCCCCUUCCUCUUUUUCUUUCUUCUUCUUCUUCUUCUCUUUUUCUUUCUUUCUUUCCUCUGUUUCACGCCUGAGAACCCCCUCCCUCUUUCUCUCGGUUUCAUUCCAGCUCAAACCCUCCAAUUAAAUCACAUCAAGAUACUAUUCACCCUUUUUUUAAUAUUAUUAAAUUCCCAUUUUGC